UGACAAAAAUGCAUAUUACUCAGUGCCUACUUUGUUCCAGCUUGAAGUUGACGUUGUUAAACCAUCUGCGGUUCAACUAACAGGUGAGGGGUCUCUGCGUUGACUAAUUGCCGGGUUUUCCUAUCUUAAAUCUUUAUCCUCGAGGAAUGUUUAUGGAUGAACACAAAACUCAAACUCGCAGGCGAAAAAUUGGAGACUGGGCAUUCAGAUAAUUGCCACGUGCAAUCCAAAGCAUCGACGAAAUAUGGUGGAUACGUAGAUUCCCGGCCACCCGGAUCCUGGUCACGAGCCACGGGUCCUAGUCGAGCCAAGUGGGCUCGCACGAACAACUGACAACUGCGAUCAUGUGGGUAUGGUUCGCACACCGUCGGGGGGGACUCUCUUUUUGUGAAUAGUGUCCAUGCAUGGAAGGAAGCUGGUUGUUUUAUUUCAAUUAUUUGUCGCCAAAUGGCCGGAGAGAAACGUGGGAUAUAAUCCCAUGCAGGCGGGUACGAACACCAUGGGGUGGUGGACUGAAAUGGAAUAAUAACUUUUACCUUCGCAUUGUUUUUUAGUGCACUAAAAUCAACCGUUUUUUUAGGACUUCUCGUUGGCGCAAUGCAUUAUUCGUACCUUCGUACGGGUGCCUUCAUUCGUACUUCGAAUGAAGUUGUUAACGUUUUCAUUAUUUAGACUAUAUGGAAAGUGAUAUGAUAUCCGUAAGAUCGGCCAGCCAGUAUAUAUAUAUAUAUAGUAUAUGUCGAAAUCAAUAUGUAUUUACGAGUUAUUUACGCAUACGAUCAUUUUUAAGAUUCUUUAAAAUCGUGUGGGC
rnacentral:lncRNA from 1 species